AUUGAACGCUGGCGGCAGGCCUAACACAUGCAAGUCGAGCGGAUGACGGGAGCUUGCUCCGUGAUUCAGCGGCGGACGGGUGAGUAAUGCCUAGGAAUCUGCCUGGUAGUGGGGGACAACGUUUCGAAAGGAACGCUAAUACCGCAUACGUCCUACGGGAGAAAGUGGGGGAUCUUCGGACCUCACGCUAUCAGAUGAGCCUAGGUCGGAUUAGCUAGUUGGUGAGGUAAAGGCUCACCAAGGCGACGAUCCGUAACUGGUCUGAGAGGAUGAUCAGUCACACUGGAACUGAGACACGGUCCAGACUCCUACGGGAGGCAGCAGUGGGGAAUAUUGGACAAUGGGCGAAAGCCUGAUCCAGCCAUGCCGCGUGUGUGAAGAAGGUCUUCGGAUUGUAAAGCACUUUAAGUUGGGAGGAAGGGCAGUAAGUUAAUACCUUGCUGUUUUGACGUUACCAACAGAAUAAGCACCGGCUAACUUCGUGCCAGCCGCCGCAGUAAGAC
rnacentral:rRNA from 1 species